rnacentral:pre_miRNA from 1 species
UCAAAUUGAAGAACUGAGAUCGAUUGGUGCAUAGAUAACGCCCAAAAAGUCAUUUUAUUUCAAUUCUAGCACCAUUCGAAAUCAGUGCUUUUUAUUGGAA